UACGAAGGGGGGCUAGCGUUGUUCGGAAUUACUGGGCGUAAAGCGCGCGCAGGCGGUCCUUCAAGUCAGGGGUGAAAGCCCAGGGCUCAACCCUGGAAUGGCCCUUUGAGACUAGAGGACUUGGGUACGGGAGAGGUGAGUGGAAUUCCGAGUGUAGAGGUGAAAUUCGUAGAUAUUCGGAAGAACACCAGUGGCGAAGGCGGCUCACUGGCCCGUUACCGACGCUCAGGCGCGACAGCGUGGGGAGCAAACAGG
rnacentral:rRNA from 1 species